rnacentral:rRNA from 1 species
UUGGUUAAGUUAGAAAGGGCGCACGGUGGAUGCCUUGGCACUAGGAGCCGAAGAAGGACGGGACUAACACCGAUAUGCUUUGGGGAGCUGUACGUAAGCGUUGAUCCAGAGAUUUCCGAAUGGGGGAACCCACUAUCUUUAGUCGGAUAGUAUCCUUACGUGAAUACAUAGCGUGAGGAAGGCAGACCCAGGGAACUGAAACAUCUAAGUACCUGGAGGAAGAGAAAGAAAAAUCGAUUUCCUGAGUAGCGGCGAGCGAAACGGAAAGAGCCCAAACCAAGAAGCUUGCUUCUUGGGGUUGUAGGACACUCUAUACGGAGUUACAAAAGAAAGUUAUAAAUGAAGCGGUCUGGAAAGGCCCGCCAAAGACGGUAACAGCCCGGUAGUUGAAAUAGCUUUCCCUCCAGAGUGGAUCCUGAGUACGGCGGAACACGUGAAAUUCCGUCGGAAUCCGGGAGGACCAUCUCCCAAGGCUAAAUACUCCCUAGUGACCGAUAGUGAACCAGUACCGUGAGGGAAAGGUGAAAAGCACCCCGGAAGGGGAGUGAAACAGUUCCUGAAACCGUGUGCCUACAAGUAGUUAGAGCCCGUUAAUGGGUGAUAGCGUGCCUUUUGUAGAAUGAACCGGCGAGUUACGAUUUGUUGCAAGGUUAAGCGGAAAAAGCGGAGCCGUAGCGAAAGCGAGUCUGAAUAGGGCGCAUAAGUAACAGGUCGUAGACCCGAAACCAGGUGAUCUACCCAUGUCCAGGAUGAAGGUAAGGUAAUACUUACUGGAGGUCCGAACCCACGCACGUUGAAAAGUGCGGGGAUGAGGUGUGGGUAGCGGAGAAAUUCCAAUCGAACUUGGAGAUAGCUGGUUCUCUCCGAAAUAGCUUUAGGGCUAGCCUCGAGGUAAAGAGUCAUGGAGGUAGAGCACUGUUUGGACUAGGGGCCCUUCUCGGGUUACCGAAUUCAGAUAAACUCCGAAUGCCAUGUACUUAUACUCGGGAGUCAGACUGCGAGUGAUAAGAUCCGUAGUCGAAAGGGAAACAGCCCAGACCACCAGUUAAGGUCCCCAAAUAUAUGUUAAGUGGAAAAGGAUGUGGGGUUGCUUAGACAACCAGGAUGUUGGCUUAGAAGCAGCCACCAUUGAAAGAGUGCGUAAUAGCUCACUGGUCGAGUGACCCCGCGCCGAAAAUGUACCGGGGCUAAACAUAUUACCGAAACUGUGGAUGAACCUCUUCGGAGGUUCGUGGUAGGAGAGCGUUCUAAGGGCGGUGAAGUCAGACCGGAAGGACUGGUGGAGCGCUUAGAAGUGAGA